UACGGAGGAUGCGAGCGUUAUCCGGAUUUAUUGGGUUUAAAGGGUGCGCAGGCGGCACGGCAAGCCGGCGGUCAAAUCGCGGGGCUCAACCCCGCCCAGCCGUCGGAACUGCCGGGCUAGAGUGGGCGAGAAGUGCGCGGAAUGCGUGGUGUAGCGGUGAAAUGCAUAGAUAUCACGCAGAACUCCGAUUGCGAAGGCAGCGCACCGGCGCCCUACUGACGCUCAGGCACGGAAGCGUGGGUAUCGAACAGG
rnacentral:rRNA from 1 species